GUUGUCUCAAAGAUUAAGCCAUGCAUGUCUAAGUAUAAGCAAUUAUACGGCGAAACUGCGAAUGGCUCAUUACACAAGUUAUCGUUUAUUUGAUAGUACCUUACUACUUGGAUAACUGUGGUAAUUCUAGAGCUAAUACAUGCUAAAAAUCCCGACUUCGGAAGGGAUGUAUUUAUUAGAUUAAAAACCAAUGCCCUCUGGGCUCUCUGGUGAUUCAUGAUAACUUCUCGAAUCGCAUGGCCUUGCGCCGGCGAUGGCUCAUUCAAAUUUCUUCCCUAUCAACUUUCGAUGUUUGGGUAGUGGCCAAACAUGGUUGCAACGGGUAACGGAGGGUUAGGGCUCGACCCCGGAGAAGGAGCCUGAGAAACGGCUACUACAUCCAAGGAAGGCAGCAGGCGCGCAAAUUACCCAAUCCCGACUCGGGGAGGUAGUGACAAUAAAUACUGAUACAGGGCUCUUUUGGGUCUUGUAAUCGGAAUGAGUACAAUUUAAAUCCCUUAACGAGGAACAAUUGGAGGGCAAGUCUGGUGCCAGCAGCCGCGGUAAUUCCAGCUCCAAUAGCGUAUAUUAAAGUUGUUGUGGUUAAAAAGCUCGUAGUUGAACCUUGGGCCUGGCUGGCCGGUCCGCCUCACCGCGUGUACUGGUCCGGCCGGGCCUUUCCCUCUGUGGAACCCCAUGCCCUUCACUGGGUGUGGCGGGGAAACAGGACUUUUACUUUGAAAAAAUUAGAGUGCUCCAGGCAGGCCUAUGCUCGAAUACAUUAGCAUGGAAUAAUGAAAUAGGACGUGCGGUUCUAUUUUGUUGGUUUCUAGGACCGCCGUAAUGAUUAAUAGGGACAGUCGGGGGCAUCAGUAUUCAAUUGUCAGAGGUGAAAUUCUUGGAUUUAUUGAAGACUAACUACUGCGAAAGCAUUUGCCAAGGAUGUUUUCAUUAAUCAGGAACGAAAGUUAGGGGAUCGAAGACGAUCAGAUACCGUCGUAGUCUUAACCAUAAACUAUGCCGACUAGGGAUCGGACGAUGUUAAUUUUUGACUCGUUCGGCACCUUACGAGAAAUCAAAGUGCUUGGGCUCCAGGGGGAG
rnacentral:rRNA from 1 species